UACGGAGGGUGCGAGCGUUUGUCCGGAAUCAUUGGGCGUAAAGGGCGCGUAGGUGGCCCGGUCAGUUCGUGGUGAAAGCGCGGGGCUCAACCCUGCGUCGGCCAUGAAUACUGCCGCGGCUGGAGCACUGUAGAGGCAGGCGGAAUUCCGGGUGUAGCGGUGGAAUGCGUAGAGAUCCGGAAGAACACCGGUGGCGAAGGCGGCCUGCUGGGCAGUUGCUGACACUGAGGCGCGACAGCGUGGGGAGCAAACAGG
rnacentral:rRNA from 1 species